rnacentral:pre_miRNA from 1 species
AAGAAGUGUGACAUGCCGUUUGGUGAUAAACUCUAAUGUUAUAUUUAUUAUUUAAUUGAUUUUGGGAAACGGGGUGUUACAAUUGC